CGUCUGGAGGCAAAGAGCAGUUUCCAUUUCUCUUGGAUCCAAACACCGGCGUGUCAAUGUACGAGAGCUCCGAUAUUGUCAACUACUUGUUCCAGGAAUAUGGUGAGAGAAG